UACGUAGGGUGCGAGCGUUGUCCGGAAUUAUUGGGCGUAAAGGGCUCGUAGGCGGUUUGUCGCGUCGGGAGUGAAAACCAGGUGCUUAACACCUGGCUUGCUUUCGAUACGGGCAGACUAGAGGUAUGCAGGGGAGAACGGAAUUCCUGGUGUAGCGGUGAAAUGCGUAGAGAUGCGGAGGAACACCAGUGGCGAAAGCGACUUUCUGGUCCUUAACUGACGCUGAGGCGCGAAAGCAUGGGGAGCGAACGGG
rnacentral:rRNA from 1 species